rnacentral:rRNA from 1 species
GUUUAAGGCCAUACCACCCUGAACCCGCCCGAUCUCGUCUGAUCUCGGCUGCUACGCAGGAUUGGACCUGGUUAGUACUUGUAUGGGAGACCACCUGGGCAUACCUGGUGCUGUAAGCU